AGCGAACGCUGGCGGCAGGCCUAACACAUGCAAGUCGAGCGCCGUAGCAAUACGGAGCGGCAGACGGGAGAGUAACACGUGGGAACGUACCCUUUGGUUCGGAACAACCCAGGGAAACUUGGGCUAAUACCGGAUAAGCCCUCACGGGGAAAGAUUCAUCGCCGAAGGAUCGGCCCGCGUCUGAUUAGCUAGUUGGUGGGGUAAUGGCCCACCAAGGCGACGAUCAGUACCUGGUCCGAGAGGAUGAUCAGCCUCACUGGGUCUGAGACACGGCGCAGGUGCCUACGGGAUGCAGCAGUGGGUAAUAUUGGACAAUGGGCGCAAGCCUGAUCCAGCCAUGCCGCGUGUGUGAUGAAGGCCCUAGGGUUGUAAAGCCCUGUCGGCGGGGAAGAAAAUGGCGGUACCCGCAGAAGAAGCCCCGGCUAACUUCGUGCCAGCAGCCGCCGUAACAC
rnacentral:rRNA from 1 species